UGAAAACCGAAAAAAAUUAUAGCCUAUAGUAGAAAAGUCGACUAAUUUAGAAGCGCGAAAAAAAAACACUAUAGAGUGUUUGGUUUUUGAUUUUUUUUUUUUUUUUUUACAAACACAAGAGAAAAAAGAAAGGAAAGAUUGCCAAGUGCAUUCGCAUGUAUCUCAAAAGUCUAGACUGUCGUUCAUUCAAGACAUCCGCAGUAUCUUUCACCCCGUCCUCCACCGUGUCACCAGCUACCAUAGUCUACGGCGUUAUCUCAUUACGUUAUCCGGUGAAGAUUUAUCGUUUUAAGUUUAAUUUUCGAUU